rnacentral:antisense_RNA from 1 species
CUUUCUGGCGGGCGGUGCGUGGGGGCUUUCGGGCCCACCGGUUUAUGACAUUGCUUCUUCCGGUUUGCAGCCACGCAUCGUCCGCCACCUCU